CCCUUAGAUGUUCUGGGCCGCACGCGUGCUACACUGAGUGGAUCAGCGGGUCAGGUUGCGCGAAAGCGUUUCCUAAUCUUUAAAUCCGCUCGUGAUGGGGAUUGACGGUUGCAAUUUUCUGUCAUGAACGAGGUAUACCUUGUAAGCGCGGGUCAUCAUCCCGCGCUGAAUACGUCCCUGCCCUUUGUACACACCGCCCGUCGCACCUACCGAUUGGAUGAUCCGGUGAAGCCUCGGGAUUGUGACCAGUUUCCUUUAUUGGGAGUUGGUUGCGAGAACUUGUCUAAACCUUAUCAUCUAGAGGAAGGUGAAGUCGUAACA
rnacentral:rRNA from 1 species